UACGUAGGGGGCAAGCGUUGUCCGGAUUCAUUGGGCGUAAAGAGCUCGUAGGCGGUUCAGUAAGUCGGGUGUGAAAUCUCCGUGCUCAACACGGAGCGGCCACCUGAUACUGCUGUGACUCGAGUCCGGUAGGGGAGUGUGGAAUUCCCGGUGUAGCGGUGAAAUGCGCAGAUAUCAGGAGGAACACCGGUGGCGAAGGCGGUUCUCUGGGAAUGUCCUGACGCUGAGACGCGAAGGUCAGGGGAGGCAAACGGG
rnacentral:rRNA from 1 species